GACGAACGCUGGCGGCGUGCCUAAUACAUGCAAGUAGAACGCUGAAGAGAGGAGCUUGCUCUUCUUGGAUGAGUUGCGAACGGGUGAGUAACGCGUAGGUAACCUGCCUUGUAGCGGGGGAUAACUAUUGGAAACGAUAGCUAAUACCGCAUAACAAUGGAUGACACAUGUCAUUUAUUUGAAAGGGGCAAUUGCUCCACUACAAGAUGGACCUGCGUUGUAUUAGCUAGUAGGUGAGGUAAUGGCUCACCUAGGCGACGAUACAUAGCCGACCUGAGAGGGUGAUCGGCCACACUGGGACUGAGACACGGCCCAGACUCCUACGGGAGGCAGCAGUAGGGAAUCUUCGGCAAUGGGGGCAACCCUGACCGAGCAACGCCGCGUGAGUGAAGAAGGUUUUCGGAUCGUAAAGCUCUGUUGUAAGUCAAGAACGGGUGUGAGAGUGGAAAGUUCACACUGUGACGGUAGCUUACCAGAAAGGGACGGCUAACUACGUGCCAGCAGCCGCGGUAAUACGUAGGUCCCGAGCGUUGUCCGGAUUUAUUGGGCGUAAAGCGAGCGCAGGCGGUUUGAUAAGUCUGAAGUUAAAGGCUGUGGCUCAACCAUAGUUCGCUUUGGAAACUGUCAAACUUGAGUGCAGAAGGGGAGAGUGGAAUUCCAUGUGUAGCGGUGAAAUGCGUAGAUAUAUGGAGGAACACCGGUGGCGAAAGCGGCUCUCUGGUCUGUAACUGACGCUGAGGCUCGAAAGCGUGGGGAGCGAACAGGAUUAGAUACCCUGGUAGUCCACGCCGUAAACGAUGAGUGCUAGGUGUUGGAUCCUUUCCGGGAUUCAGUGCCGCAGCUAACGCAUUAAGCACUCCGCCUGGGGAGUACGACCGCAAGGUUGAAACUCAAAGGAAUUGACGGGGGCCCGCACAAGCGGUGGAGCAUGUGGUUUAAUUCGAAGCAACGCGAAGAACCUUACCAGGUCUUGACAUCCCGAUGCUAUUUCUAGAGAUAGAAAGUUACUUCGGUACAUCGGUGACAGGUGGUGCAUGGUUGUCGUCAGCUCGUGUCGUGAGAUGUUGGGUUAAGUCCCGCAACGAGCGCAACCCCUAUUGUUAGUUGCCAUCAUUAAGUUGGGCACUCUAGCGAGACUGCCGGUAAUAAACCGGAGGAAGGUGGGGAUGACGUCAAAUCAUCAUGCCCCUUAUGACCUGGGCUACACACGUGCUACAAUGGUUGGUACAACGAGUUGCGAGUCGGUGACGGCGAGCUAAUCUCUUAAAGCCAAUCUCAGUUCGGAUUGUAGGCUGCAACUCGCCUACAUGAAGUCGGAAUCGCUAGUAAUCGCGGAUCAGCACGCCGCGGUGAAUACGUUCCCGGGCCU
rnacentral:rRNA from 1 species